rfam:Ferrimonas marina strain DSM 16917 genome assembly, contig: EK02DRAFT_scaffold00006.6
GCGCCCAUAGCUCAGCUGGAUAGAGCGCUGCCCUCCGGAGGCAGAGGUCAGAGGUUCGAAUCCUCUUGGGCGCG